CUGGCGGCAGGCCUAACACAUGCAAGUCGAACGGUAGCAGGAAGAAGCUUGCUCUUGCUGACGAGUGGCGGACGGGUGAGUAAUGUCUGGGAAACUGCCUGAUGGAGGGGGAUAACUACUGGAAACGGUAGCUAAUACCGCAUAACGUCGCAAGACCAAAGAGGGGGACCUUCGGGCCUCUUGCCAUCGGAUGUGCCCAGAUGGGAUUAGCUAGUAGGUGGGGUAACGGCUCACCUAGGCGACGAUCCCUAGCUGGUCUGAGAGGAUGACCAGCCACACUGGAACUGAGACACGGUCCAGACUCCUACGGGAGGCAGCAGUGGGGAAUAUUGCACAAUGGGCGCAAGCCUGAUGCAGCCAUGCCCGCGUGUAUGAAGAAGGCCUUCGGGUUGUAAAGUACUUUCAGCGGGGAGGAAGGGAGUAAAGUUAAUACCUUUGCUCAUUGACGUUACCCGCAGAAGAAGCACCGGCUAACUCCGUGCCAGCCGCCGC
rnacentral:rRNA from 1 species